UUUUAUGGAGAGUUUGAUCCUGGCUCAGAGUGAACGCUGGCGGCGUGCCUAAUACAUGCAAGUCGAACGAUGAAGCUUCUAGCUUGCUAGAGUGCUGAUUAGUGGCGCACGGGUGAGUAACGCAUAGGUUAUGUGCCUCUUAGUUUGGGAUAGCCAUUGGAAACGAUGAUUAAUACCAGAUACUCCCUACGGGGGAAAGAUUUAUCGCUAAGAGAUCAGCCUAUGUCCUAUCAGCUUGUUGGUAAGGUAAUGGCUUACCAAGGCUAUGACGGGUAUCCGGCCUGAGAGGGUGAACGGACACACUGGAACUGAGACACGGUCCAGACUCCUACGGGAGGCAGCAGUAGGGAAUAUUGCUCAAUGGGGGAAACCCUGAAGCAGCAACGCCGCGUGGAGGAUGAAGGUUUUAGGAUUGUAAACUCCUUUUGUUAGAGAAGAUAAUGACGGUAUCUAACGAAUAAGCACCGGCUAACUCCGUGCCAGCAGCCGCGGUAAUACGGAGGGUGCAAGCGUUACUCGGAAUCACUGGGCGUAAAGAGCGCGUAGGCGGGAUAGUCAGUCAGGUGUGAAAUCCUAUGGCUUAACCAUAGAACUGCAUUUGAAACUACUAUUCUAGAGUGUGGGAGAGGUAGGUGGAAUUCUUGGUGUAGGGGUAAAAUCCGUAGAGAUCAAGAGGAAUACUCAUUGCGAAGGCGACCUGCUGGAACAUUACUGACGCUGAUUGCGCGAAAGCGUGGGGAGCAAACAGGAUUAGAUACCCUGGUAGUCCACGCCCUAAACGAUGGAUGCUAGUUGUUGGAGGGCUUAGUCUCUCCAGUAAUGCAGCUAACGCAUUAAGCAUCCCGCCUGGGGAGUACGGUCGCAAGAUUAAAACUCAAAGGAAUAGACGGGGACCCGCACAAGCGGUGGAGCAUGUGGUUUAAUUCGAAGAUACACGAAGAACCUUACCUAGGCUUGACAUUGAGAGAAUCCGCUAGAAAUAGUGGAGUGUCUGGCUUGCUAGACCUUGAAAACAGGUGCUGCACGGCUGUCGUCAGCUCGUGUCGUGAGAUGUUGGGUUAAGUCCCGCAACGAGCGCAACCCCCUUUCUUAGUUGCUAACAGGUCAUGCUGAGAACUCUAAGGAUACUGCCUCCGUAAGGAGGAGGAAGGUGGGGACGACGUCAAGUCAUCAUGGCCCUUACGCCUAGGGCUACACACGUGCUACAAUGGGGUGCACAAAGAGAAGCAAUACUGCGAAGUGGAGCCAAUCUUCAAAACGCCUCUCAGUUCGGAUUGUAGGCUGCAACUCGCCUGCAUGAAGCUGGAAUCGCUAGUAAUCGCAAAUCAGCCAUGUUGCGGUGAAUACGUUCCCGGGUCUUGUACUCACCGCCCGUCACACCAUGGGAGUUGUGUUUGCCUUAAGUCAGGAUGCUAAAUUAGCUACUGCCCACGGCACACACAGCGACUGGGGUGAAGUCGUAACAAGGUAACCGUAGGUGAACCUGCGGUUGGAUCACCUCCUUUCUAGA
rnacentral:rRNA from 1 species